GGGGCCCCAAAGUGCUGGUGACGACGCUGACACCCUAACAGUAGGUGCACAGAGGGGAAGUCGAAACAGAAAGGGGAAGCAGUCUUAACCAAUUAUGGCUAAAUAUAGCUCACUUUUAAUACAUUUUACAAAAAUAUAUGACCAUGUGAACACAUUGCAAGGUCUUCCCCCAGCUCUUGUAAGGGACCGUGCAAGUGAGGCCCUGAGCUGAAGUUUAUUAGUUUAUUAGCUAACAGGUAGAUCUUUCUCUGAGGACUCACAGAUCUAUCUGGUGGUCUGACUGCAGCUGAGGACCCCAAUCUGGAGUAAUAGUAAAUAGCUGUAGAAGCCAAGGAUCAGAGGCGAGGCAAUGCCAUUGUAGUGGAAGGGAUACAUUCGAAUGGUAAUUAGCAGGUGGAACCAAGAUGAUUACAGUUUGGAAGAGGACAGAGUUAAAAAUGUGGCACCAUCUAGUCUGGCACUUGCCCCUCUUAAUUUAUCCAAAACAUUGAACAACACUUAAUAACUUGUGCCAGGCAUAGUGCUUGCUGCCAAGCAGAGGGGAGGGUGUGUGACCUGGGCUGUGAACUCAUACUGGCCGGCUCGCUGUAGCGUCCCCUGCCAGCCUCAGCUCCAGAGGAUGUCUGUUUCUCCUCUACUCAGUCAGCAAGGGAUCUUUCUCUUUGUUCUUACGAAUGAGGCCACCCAUUAAGAUGUGUCUAGAUACUUUGGCUCCCAGGUCACACCCAACUAUUGCCUCUUUUUGAUCCAAUAUAUACUUUUUCCGUAAACUGGUCAAAACCCAUACUUACACAGAGAUGGAAAGAGGAGUAUAAUUUCAAAUUGCAAGGGGAAGCUGGAUAUAACUCAGUUUUUAAAUCUCGAAUGUAUAUAUUUUUGGCCUGAUUUCCCACUCUGAACCCCCAAAUCAGUAAAAUCACAAGGUGAAUGCAAACAGGAAAGAGAAAGGAGAAAACAUGUCUGCCAGCCCAUAGAUAUGACCCUGGGGCCCUGGGGGAAAAGAGAAAGCAGGCACUUUCCCAUCAUUACGGCUGCACCACCGCAGUAAUGAUGCCCUGAGAACAUGAAAGCCAGCAGUAGGGGAAACCCCACCAAACAUUUGAGAUCCGCAGUCUAGGGAUUACUCCCCGCCAGGCACUCGAUCUUUGCACAAAUCUUACAGCUAACGUGCUCCUUUCACAGGAAGCCUUUACUGCUUCUCAAAUAAUCCCGAAAG
rnacentral:lncRNA from 1 species